rnacentral:RNase_P_RNA from 3 species
CGGGCUGGUCGGGCGACCGCGUGAUCUCCGCCGUGAGGCGACAGGUCCCGAGGAAAGUCCGGGCUCCACAGAGCAGGGUGGUGGGUAACACCCACCCGGGGUGACCCGCGGGAAAGUGCCACAGAAAACAGACCGCCGCCGCUCUCCGGAGCAGCGGUAAGGGUGAAACGGUGGGGCAAGAGCCCACCAGUGCCUCGGGUGACCGGGGCAGCUAGGCAAACCCCACCCGGAGCAAGACCAGACAGCACGCGUUCGAGGGCUGCUCGCCCGAGCGUGCGGGUAGGUUGCUGGAGGCUGUCGGCAACGGCAGCCGUAGAUGGAUGGUCGCCGGCUCGAAAGAGUCACAGAACCCGGCUUACAGACCAGCCCGUCCA